CACAGGUCCCUCAAGUCCGGGAAGUGACUUUAGAGAUUAGGACCUAAAGGCUUGGUGGCUUCCCUCUCACUGUCUCCUGGAUCUCUCAUUCUGGUGGGAGUUAGGCGCCAUGUCAUGAGGACAUUCAAGGAGCCCUCUGGGGAGUUCCCAUUGUGAGGAGCUGAGGCUUCCUGACAACAACCAACACCAACUCGCCAGGAGAGGAGAAGAGCAGAAGACAAGGGAAGCAGAUCAGGUUUGUAGGUAUUAUCUCCAAUGUACCUGUGAAGAAACUAAGGCCUGGAAGAGUUCAGCGAUUUGCCUACAGUAACACAGCAACUUUAGAGACCAUCUGCAUUCCUUGAGUUGUGGCUUCUUCCUCCAUCUUCAAAACCAGCAACAACAGAUAAGUCCUUCUUAGAUUGCUUCACUCUGACCUCCUCUCUGUCACCUUCUUCCAUUUUAAGGACUCUUGAUUAUACUCGGUUCACCCAGACAAUCCAGGAUAAUCUCCCUAUUUUAAGGCCAGCUGAUUAGCAACAUUAAUUCUAUCUGUCACCUUAAUUAUCCUUUGUCAUAUUACAUAACAUAUUCACAGGUUUCAAGGAUUAAAACAUGGACAUCUUUGGGAGGGGGUGCUUAUAGUGUCCACCACA
rnacentral:lncRNA from 1 species